rnacentral:rRNA from 1 species
CGUAGACGACGCUGGCGGCGUGCCUAACACAUGCAAGGUCAACGGGGAUUUGUUUCGGCAGAAUCCUAGGGGCGAACGGGUGAGUAACGCGUAGGCAACCUGCCCUCCGGCCGGGGACAACACUCCAAAGGGGUGCUAAUACCGGAUACGAAGUCUGUGCCGCAUGUACGGAUUUGAAAGAUGGCCUCUAUUUACAAGCUAUCGCCGGGGGAUGGGCCUGCGUCCGAUUAGCUGGUUGGUGGGGUAACGGCCUACCAAGGCGACGAUCGGUAGCCGGUCUGAGAGGAUGAACGGCCACAUUGGGACUCGAGACACGGCCCAGACUCCUACGGGAGGCAGCAGUGGGGAAUCUUCCGCAAUGGGCGCAAGCCUGACGGAGCAACGCCGCGUGAGUGAGGAAGUUCUUCGGAACGUAAAGCUCUGUUGUUCCUGACGAACCUCCCCUUUAUCAACAACGGAAGGGACUGACGGUAGGGAACGAGGAAGCCACGGCUAACUACGUGCCAGCCGCAGC